GUGGCGGACGGGUGAGUAACGCGUGAGAAUCUAGCUCUAGGUCGGGGACAACCACUGGAAACGGUGGCUAAUACCGGAUGAGCCGAAAGGUAAAAGAUUUAUUGCCUAGAGAUGAGCUCGCGUCUGAUUAGCUAGUUGGUGUGGUAAGAGCGCACCAAGGCGACGAUCAGUAGCUGGUCUGAGAGGAUGAUCAGCCACACUGGGACUGAGACACGGCCCAGACUCCUACGGGAGGCAGCAGUGGGGAAUUUUCCGCAAUGGGCGAAAGCCUGACGGAGCAAUACCGCGUGAGGGAGGAAGGCUCUUGGGUUGUAAACCUCUUUUCUCAAGGAAUAAUUCAAUGAAGGUACUUGAGGAAUAAGCAUCGGCUAACUCCGUGCCAGCAGCCGCGGUAAUACGGAGGAUGCAAGCGUUAUCCGGAAUGAUUGGGCGUAAAGGGUCCGCAGGUGGCAUUGUGUGUCUGCUGUUAAAGAGUGAGGCUCAACCUCAUAAAAGCAGUGGAAACUACAAAGCUAGAGUGCGUUCGGGGUAGCAGGAAUUCCUGGUGUAGCGGUGAAAUGCGUAGAGAUCAGGAAGAACACCGGUGGCGAAAGCGUGCUACUAGGCCGUAACUGACACUGAGGGACGAAAGCUAGGGGAGCGAAUGGGAUUAGAUACCCCAGUAGUCCUAGCCGUAAACGAUGGAUACUAGGCGUGGCUUGUAUCGACCCGAGCCGUGCCGGAGCUAACGCGUUAAGUAUCCCGCCUGGGGAGUACGCACGCAA
rnacentral:rRNA from 1 species